UACGAAGGGAGCUAGCGUUGUUCGGAAUCACUGGGCGUAAAGCGCACGUAGGCGGAUGUGUCAGUCAGGGGUGAAAUCCCGGAGCUCAACUUCGGAACUGCCUUUGAUACAGCACGUCUUGAGUCCGAUAGAGGUGGGUGGAAUUCCUAGUGUAGAGGUGAAAUUCGUAGAUAUUAGGAAGAACACCGGUGGCGAAGGCGGCCCACUGGAUCGGUACUGACGCUGAGGUGCGAAGCGUGGGGAGCAAACAGG
rnacentral:rRNA from 1 species